ensembl:lncRNA
GCACGUGCCCUGCUACCAUGGCUAUUGCAGUCCCCGCGCGUUAGCCCCCGCAGCGUAUUCUCUCUCACAGCUCUACCAGUCCAGCUUCAGGAUGCGGCUCCCUCGGUCGGGUUAGGGGGGUUUCUUCCAAGGGCAAUGGUUUGCUGAGAGAUGGCCAGUCGAAGCUGGCACGUUUGCCCUCGGGUCAGAGUCGUCUGCGCUGUUCGAGCUUUACCCUAUCGUAGCAGCUAGCGUUCUGUGGGGCAAAGCAUGGCGGCGUUAACGUAUAACCAUGUUUUGCGAUAACAAAGCAGCGUCAAAACGGCUGGGAAGGUGGUCUUCCACAGCAUACAGAUUUUACAUCCGGUUGAAUUCGGUGAGUUCGUUGCACACGUCGGUGUGGUACAACACAGAACUCUACGUUCGCAAUCAAAGGUUCAUAAUUAUCUUUAUACCGUGUACUAAAAAAUGUGUAAGUUUUCUCUUCAUAACGCCACCUCAAGCGUUUUAUUAGCCGUUUUCUGUUAUUACUUUUUGCUGGAGAAGGAGGGGUGGGCAGCUGAAAGGAGUCGUAGCGAGACAUGUUGUUUCGGCCUGGCAUUCGAGAGGGCCUAGUGCACUGUUCGGUUAACUUCUUGUGUCUGAGGUUUUUCCCUUCACUUUAACAUGAAUGAAGUUGAUGGGUUUUAGGCACUGUGGUAACUGAAUAUCACUAAGGUUUUUAUUGACGAAGGGACUUUUAGAUUGGUUCAGCUGCUGCUCACUAACUCUCACGUUCCUCUGCUCGCGAUGCGAUUCACUAAGGUUUUUAUUGACGAAGGGACUUUUAGAUUGGUUCAGCUGCUGCUCACUAACUCUCACGUUCCUCUGCUCGCGAUGCGAUUCACAUAUCGAUCAAUUUAUUCAAAAGAUCCAAAGACAAAGAACAGGUACAUUAUGGUAUAAUUUUAUAUUAUUAUUAUUUAUAGUCUUAUUGUUAAAAGCUUCAGUCGCGUUGGUAUUUAAUUUUUCAUUUGCUCGUUUAGCUAUGUAUGACAGUUAACAAUGUUGGUGUAUUACAAUUAUUUACGCGUGUAGGCCACUCCAACUCUCGAUAUUUCAAAUAGAUUAGUGUGCUCUCUCAGAGCUGGGAGAUUUCAUCCUUAUUUUAACAUAUUACUCGAGACGGUGUUUCUCACUGCGUUCUCUGGUUCAUGCGUUCUCGGGUUCAUGCGUUCAUGCGUCCAUGCAUACAUGUCUCCUACUCAGACUUUUCCCCUACACGGGGUAUUUAAUUUUUCAUUUGCUUGUUUAGCUAUGUAUGACAGUUAACAAUUUUGGUGUAUUACAAUUAUUUAUGUGUGUUGGCCACUCCAACUCACACUCGAUAUUUUGAAUAGAUUAGUGUGCUCUCUGGGAGAUUUCAUCCUUAUUUUAACAUAUUACUCGAGACGGUGUUUCUCACAGCGUUCUACGGGUUCAUGCGUUCUACGGGUUCAUGCGUUCUACGGGUUUACGGGUUUACGCGUUCUACGGGUUUACGCGUUCUCUUGGUUUACG